AGCCCCGUAGUACAGUGGUCAAGUAUACGGGCCUUUGGAGCCUGUGACCCAGGUUCGAAUCCUGGCGGGGCUA
rnacentral:tRNA from 1 species